rnacentral:rRNA from 1 species
UACGUAGGGGGCGAGCGUUGUCCGGAUUUAUUGGGCGUAAAGAGCGUGUAGGCGGUUCGGUAAGUCUGUCGUGAAAUCCUGAGGCUCAACCUCGGGCGUGCGAUGGAUACUGCCGGGCUAGAGGGUGGUAGAGGCGAGUGGAAUUCCCGGUGUAGCGGUGAAAUGCGCAGAUAUCAGGAGGAACACCAAUGGCGAAGGCAGAUCUCUGGGCCGUAACUGACGCUGAGGAGCGAAAGCAUGGGGAGCGAACAGG